rnacentral:ncRNA from 1 species
UUGAUUAAUUGCAAACCUUGGGAAACCUAGGGACGCAAAGCUAAAGGGCCUGUAAAAUGGCAGCCAGUUGCCGAA